ensembl:lncRNA
CAACAAUGGGCCUCUGGAGUUUGUCCCUCUCACCUUAAUCACUGCGGAAUUUGAUCUCAGGGCCUUUCAUUCCAUUACUACCCCCCAUCUGGCCGCUGCCUGCAGGAGCCAGGCCGGCCCUGCGUCUCCCAUGGGACUAGAGGCCUGGGGGACGGUCACUGCGAGGCUGCUAUUCACAGACCAAAGAGGACUGCAGACUCAAAAUCCAUUAGCAUCUGGAUGGCAACAUAACCAUGCACAUUGGAGACUGAUGCAGUAAGAUGUGAUGGGGCCAGUGUGGGGCUGGAGAGUCUGCACCUCAGUUGAAAUAAUUCAGCGCCCUUCCCCCUACGCCCCCGGGUUGGCUCGAGAGCCACGGACUCCAAUCCCUCGGGCCUCCGCUGAACCUCCCCAGGGCCUCCCGGAGCUGGCUGCCCUGGCGCGGGGGCGGGGGCGGUGGGGGUUGGAGGGCGCAGCCGGCUCCGGGCGGGGAGAGGAGGGGGCGUGGGGGUUGCCGCGCAGCAGCAGGAGCAGCGGAAAGAGAAAGGUGAGGAGGUUUUGGUGGGUUUGGGUUGGAGCCCGAGCCUUGGCCGGGGUAGCUGGUCAGUUUCCGGCCAAGGCUGCAGGUCAAUCCCGGGAAGGGCGGGCGGCCGAGCAGAGGGAGCCGGCGGCGGAGCUCUCCCCUCGGCCCGCGUUCCCCGGCGCCACCGCCACCGCCUUGUCGCCG